rfam:Triticum aestivum genome assembly, contig: Triticum_aestivum_CS42_TGACv1_scaffold_320424_4BL
AAAGUACUCCCUCCAUCCCAAAAUUCUUGUCUUAGAUUUGUUUAGAUACGGAUGUAUCAAGUCACAUUUUAGUAUUAGAUACAUCCGUAUCUAGACAUACAUCCAUAUCUAGACAAAUCUUAGACAAGAAAUUUGGGACAGAGGGAGUAGUUU